CCAAUAGCGUAUAUUAAAGUUGUUGCAGUUAAAAAGCUCGUAGUUGAAUUUUGGGUCUGGCCGGGCGGUCCGCCUUCUGGGUGAGUACUGUUCCGAUGUCGGACCUAUCCUUCUGGUGAGUCGGCAUGCCCUUUACUGGAUGUGUCGGGGAACCAGGACCAUUACCUUGAAAAAAUUAGAGUGUUCAAAGCAGGCGCAUGCUCGAAUACAUUAGCAUGGAAUAAUGAAAUAGGACGCGUGGUGCUAUUUUGUUGGUUUCUAGAACCGCCGUAAUGAUUAAUAGGGAUAGUUGGGGGCAUUAGUAUUCAAUUGUCAGAGGUGAAAUUCUUGGAUUUAUUGAAGACUAACUUCUGCGAAAGCAUUUGCCAAGGAUGUUUUCAUUAAUCAAGAACGAAAGUUAGGGGAUCGAAGACGAUCAGAUACCGUCGUAGUCUUAACCAUAAACUAUGCCGACUAGGAAUCGGGCGAUGUUAUUUUCACGACUCGCCCGGCGCCUUAUG
rnacentral:rRNA from 1 species